AUGUUCAAAAUUGUCAAUUAGCAGGAGGUGCACAACAACUGAGAAAAGAAAUUACAGCAAAUGAAGAUGGGCUUAGUGAAGAUGACAUAAUAGUUGAUGUUGCAAAAUCAGGUUAUGAAGGAGCUACAUGGGAAUGUAUGUAUUACAUCAGUUCUGAUGGCACUGUAAAACAAUGGACUAGAGAAUGGCAUGUUCCACCACCUGAUGCCUUCCCUGCUCCAUGGCGUGUAUUUUAUACAAAACACAACAAAGAACUGGUUGCUAAAAUGAAGAGAGGGUUAAGGAAGGUGAUUGAAGAAAAGGGUGGAUUUGUG